GGUCGAGUGGUGUAGUUGGUUAUCACGUCAGUCUAACAUGCCUUGGUCUCGGAAAGAGAUUCAGACAGUUUCACUGAAGGUCUCCGGUUCAAGUCCGGGCUCGAUCA